AGGUGGGAUGACGUCAAAUCAUCAUGCCCCUUAUGACCUGGGCUACACACGUGCUACAAUGGUUGGUACAACGAGUUGCGAGUCGGUGACGGCGAGCUAAUCUCUUAAAGCCAAUCUCAGUUCGGAUUGUAGGCUGCAACUCGCCUACAUGAAGUCGGAAUCGCUAGUAAUCGCGGAUCAGCACGCCGCGGUGAAUACGUUCCCGGGCCUU
rnacentral:rRNA from 1 species